UACGGGGGGGGUAAGCGUUGUUCGGAAUUACUGGGCGUAAAGCGCACGUAGGCGGCUUUUUAAGUCAGGGGUGAAAUCCUGGAGCUCAACUCCAGAACUGCCUUUGAUACUGAGAAGCUUGAGUUCGGGAGAGGUGAGUGGAACUGCGAGUGUAGAGGUGAAAUUCGUAGAUAUUCGCAAGAACACCAGUGGCGAAGGCGGCUCACUGGCCCGAUACUGACGCUGAGGUGCGAAAGCGUGGGGAGCAAACAGG
rnacentral:rRNA from 1 species